rnacentral:tRNA from 1 species
CGCGGGACGUGGUGGCGCGGCGGACACGUCGGCGCUGAUGUCGUCGGGCACCUCGACGGCCUGUACGGCGUCGUCCGGGUCGUGUCCGACGGCCCACGG